UACGUAGGUGGCAAGCGUUGUCCGGAUUUACUGGGCGUAAAGAGCGCGCAGGCGGUCGUUCAAGUCGCGUGUGAAAGCCCCCGGCUCAACUGGGGAGGGUCACGCGAUACUGAUCGACUCGAAGGCAGGAGAGGGUAGUGGAAUUCCCGGUGUAGUGGUGAAAUGCGUAGAUAUCGGGAGGAACAUCAGUGGCGAAGGCGACUACCUGGCCUGUUCUUGACGCUGAGGCGCGAAAGCUAGGGGAGCAAACGGG
rnacentral:rRNA from 1 species